rnacentral:rRNA from 1 species
AUUGAACGCUGGCGGCAUGCCUUACACAUGCAAGUCGAACGGCAGCGCGGACUUCGGUCUGGCGGCGAGUGGCGAACGGGUGAGUAAUACAUCGGAACGUACCCUGUUGUGGGGGAUAACUAGUCGAAAGAUUAGCUAAUACCGCAUACGACCUGAGGGUGAAAGUGGGGGACCGCAAGGCCCCACGCAGCAGGAGCGGCCGAUGUCUGAUUAGCUAGUUGGUGGGGUAAAGGCCCACCAAGGCGACGAUCAGUAGCUGGUCUGAGAGGACGAUCAGCCACACUGGGACUGAGACACGGCCCAGACUCCUACGGGAGGCAGCAGUGGGGAAUUUUGGACAAUGGGGGCAACCCUGAUCCAGCAAUGCCGCGUGUGUGAAGAAGGCCUUCGGGUUGUAAAGCACUUUUGUCCGGAAAGAAAUCGCGCUGGUUAAUACCUGGCGUGGAUGACGGUACCGGAAGAAUAAGCACCGGCUAACUCUGUGCCAGCCGCCGCAGUAA